rnacentral:snRNA from 1 species
GUGCUUACUUUGGCAGCACAUAUACUAAAACUGGGACAGAGACGAUUAGCAUGGACACGAUGCAAGGAUGACCCGCAAAUUCGUGAAGUGUUCCAUAUUUAA